rnacentral:misc_RNA from 1 species
ACAAAGUGGAGAACAUGGUACAGAUGGAGCAAACAAGCAUUCUCAUUUGUGAAAAACCACUAUUAUGUAACACACAUACAAAACAUAUAACCAGCAAAGCAAUAAUUAUUGUUCACAAUCACAAAAUAUAUGGGGUAGAAAAAUGUAAGACUGAACUGUACUUCUGUAAUGAAAUGAAAUUAAGCAGCUCCCUUGAGCUUCUUUGUGAUGGUAGCAAUGUACUU